rnacentral:rRNA from 1 species
GUUUAGUUGCUAACGCGUGAAGGCGAGCACUCUAGACGAACUGCCGUUGGACAAAACGGAGGAAGGUGGGGAUGACGUCAAAUCAUCAUGCCCCUUAUGUUCUGGGCUACACACGUGCUACAAUGGCCGGUACAGACGGACGCAAAGCCGCGAGGUGGAGCAAAUCCUAAAAAGCCGGUCUCAGUUCGGAUUGCAGGCUGCAAUUCGCCUGCAUGAAGUCGGAAUCGCUAGUAAUCGCAGGUCAGCAUACUCGCGGUCGAAUACGUUCCGGCCUU